CACGAGUUUAUCAGUGUGCCAGGUGCAGAUAAUGACUAUGAUCCCUAUGG
rnacentral:misc_RNA from 1 species